GAUGAACGCUGGCGGCGUGCCUAAUACAUGCAAGUCGAGCGAACGGACGAGAAGCUUGCUUCUCUGAUGUUAGCGGCGGACGGGUGAGUAACACGUGGAUAACCUACCUAUAAGACUGGGAUAACUUCGGGAAACCGGAGCUAAUACCGGAUAAUAUUUUGAACCGCAUGGUUCAAAAGUGAAAGACAGUUUUGCUGUCACUUAUAGAUGGAUCCGCGCUGCAUUAGCUAGUUGGUAAGGUAACGGCUUACCAAGGCGACGAUGCAUAGCCGACCUGAGAGGAUGAUCGGCCACACUGGAACUGAGACACGGUCCAGACUCCUACGGGAGGCAGCAGUAGGGAAUCUUCCGCAAUGGGCGAAAGCCUGACGGAGCAACGCCGCGUGAGUGAUGAAGGUCUUCGGAUCGUAAAACUCUGUUAUUAGGGAAGAACAUAUGUGUAAGUAACUGUGCACAUCUUGACGGUACCUAAUCAGAAAGCCACGGCUAACUACGUG
rnacentral:rRNA from 1 species